rnacentral:rRNA from 1 species
GGACUACCCGGGUAUCUAAUCCUGUUCGCUCCCCACGCUUUCGCUCCUCAGCGUCAGUAUCGGCCCAGAGACCCGCCUUCGCCACCGGUGUUCCUCCUGAUAUCUGCGCAUUUCACCGCUACACCAGGAAUUCCAGUCUCCCCUGCCGAACUCCAGUCAUGCCCGUAUCGACCGCAAGCUCAGGGUUAAGCCCCAAGUUUUCACGACCGACGCGACAGACCGCCUACGAGCUCUUUACGCCCAAUAAUUCCGGACAACGCUCGCACCCUACGUAUUACCGCGGCUGCUGGCAC